UUUUGAAGUCUGACGUGGUCCUGGUUACUGAGUGCUCCCCAUGGAAAAUGGCCAGGAGAGAGAGGGCCCCUUUGGCCCCUCUGAGAAGGUCCUCGCCUGGGCCCAGAACCACUGACAACCUUGGAAGCCCUCAAGGUAUAAGUUGCUAUGGCAGAGAUGAUUAUGCAAAUGUGUUCCCUCUUCCAAGACUCAGAAGUCUCUUCAUUCUUCAUGGACUUAAGGACUGAACUGGCACUUGAGGUGACCACAGGAGAGAGGAAAGUGAGAUGGCUCUCCAAGCGUGGCUCCCCUCUGGCUGGUCCCUCCUUUCUGUCCCCGGACCAUCGAUAGGGUGGAGGACAAACGGCUGAGCAGAGAUGGCUUCUUACCUGGAAUGCCAUUGUGUUGGCAACGAUCAGAAAGAGCCGCAGGGGCAGCCGAGCUUUGUAAGAUCGGUGGCUCCACAGACGAUGAGCUCCUGCUGUUAUGCCCAGGGCACUGAUAACAUAGUAGAAUAACCCUGCCAGGAGAAGACAGCGGGGGGAGUCACCAAUCAGUGUGAGUUCCAUCUGGGAAAGGAUGCCAGCGACACUCUCUGGAUGCCAGAAACUGUCUUCUUCAGGCUUUGAGUGAGAAUUGGCUUUACCAUGAACUCUAGGGAUGAUCACGUCCCUUAGACUUUACCACUUGAAAAAUAUCAUCACCUCACAGCCUCUCAACCCAGGAAAAAAAGAUAAGCUAAGGAAUCCCAGGAACUAAGGAGUCAGAAAGGCAGGAGAGAGAAUAGUGCUCUUACCACUCAUUCUUCAUCUUAAAGGCAAUCUCCCAGGGCCUAGCUAUCUCCUUUCACCUCUAUCUAGGCCUUCUCUAAGGUUUUAAGGGCCACAAACUACUCCUGUAGAGCCCAGGACCCAUAAGCAAGGGUGUUAUUAAAAUAACAGCAGAGGGCCAGGUGUAGUGUGAACCACGUUGUCAUCCCAACAUUUUGGGAGGCCAAAGCAGGAAGAUCCCCUUGAGCCCAGGAGUUCGAGACCAGCCUGGGUAACAUAGGGAGACCUUGUCUCUACAGAUAAUCUACGCAAGAGGUUGAGGUGGGAGGAUCUCUUGAGCCCAGGAGGUCGAGGCUGUGGUGAGCCACCAUCCCGUCACUGCACUCAAGCCCUGAUCAACAGAGAAAGAUGUUAUCUCGAAAAAUAAAAUAACAGCCAGUACAAUCUGGGCACUGACCAAUUUGAGAAGCACUUAGUUGUAGGGGACUUUUAGGGCAUUCAGACCAUGGCCAUUUAUCAACUGGUACA